GAAAAAGUACAUCCCAAAACCACAAAACCAGAACCAAUACCCAAAAACAAACUCUUUUUUUGAGCACAAUAAGGCACUCCAAACUCAACCCUUCAAGCUUUCCUUAGUUUUAGCCAAAAUCCACUUCUCAAAUCCUUCAAAAAACUUUCAAAACUAUCAUGAUUUGAUCUAUCAACGCCUGUACCCAAAUGGGUUUUCCCUCAAAACCCUUUUCUUUCCUCCUUUGUCUCUCUUUUUUUCUCUUUGCCAAUCCAGCUCAAUCUGCCACUGAUUACAACACUUUGGUGUAUAAGGGCUGUGCAAAACAGGCUUUUCAAGAUCCAACUGGUGUAUACUCACAAGCCCUCUCUGCUCUCUUUGGUUCUUUAGUUUCCCAGUCAACUAAAACCAAGUUCUUUAAAACCACCACUGGGACUGGCCAAACCACA
rnacentral:misc_RNA from 1 species